rnacentral:tRNA from 1 species
UGGGGGUGUAGCCCAAUUGGUAGAGCACCUGUUUUGCACGCAGGAGACUAUCGGUUCGAGUCCGAUCACCUCCAU